GGGUUGUGAGGUUAAGCGACUAAGCGUACACGGUGGAUGCCCUGGCAGUCAGAGGCGAUGAAGGGCGUGCUAAUCUGCGAUAAGCGCCGGUAAGGUGAUAUGAACCGUUAUAACCGGCGAUACCCGAAUGGGGAAACCCAGUGUGAUUCGUCACACUAUCAUUAACUGAAUCCAUAGGUUAAUGAGGCGAACCGGGGGAACUGAAACAUCUAAGUACCCCGAGGAAAAGAAAUCAACCGAGAUUCCCCCAGUAGCGGCGAGCGAACGGGGAGGAGCCCAGAGCCUGAAUCAGCAUGUGUGUUAGUGGAAGCGUCUGGAAAGGCGCGCGAUACAGGGUGACAGCCCCGUACACAAAAGCGCAUGUGCUGUGAGCUCGAUGAGUAGGGCGGGACACGUGGUAUCCUGUCUGAAUAUGGGGGGACCAUCCUCCAAGGCUAAAUACUCCUGACUGACCGAUAGUGAACCAGUACCGUGAGGGAAAGGCGAAAAGAACCCCGGCGAGGGGAGUGAAAAAGAACCUGAAACCGUGUACGUACAAGCAGUGGGAGCCCCACCACCAAAGCAUUUGCUGUACCGCGUUGACGGAGCGAAGCGACGUCAAACCGAUAAAACAGCAGUGUAAAGUGAGCCGCAGGGCGCUUUGCGCGACAGCGCAAAGGCAGGCGGUUUCGCGUAGCGAAAGCGAAUGCUUUGGGGUGGGGUGACUGCGUACCUUUUGUAUAAUGGGUCAGCGACUUAUAUUCUGUAGCAAGGUUAACCGAAUAGGGGAGCCGGAGGGAAACCGAGUCUUAAUUGGGCGUUAAGUUGCAGGGUAUAGACCCGAAACCCGGUGAUCUAGCCAUGGGCAGGUUGAAGGUUGGGUAACACUAACUGGAGGACCGAACCGACUAAUGUUGAAAAAUUAGCGGAUGACCUGUGGCUGGGGGUGAAAGGCCAAUCAAACCGGGAGAUAGCUGGUUCUCCCCGAAAGCUAUUUAGGUAGCGCCUCGUGAAUUCAUCUCCGGGGGUAGAGCACUGUUUCGGCUAGGGGGCCAUCCCGGCUUACCAACCCGAUGCAAACUGCGAAUACCGGAGAAUGUUAUCACGGGAGACACACGGCGGGUGCUAACGUCCGUCGUGAAGAGGGAAACAACCCAGACCGCCAGCUAAGGUCCCAAAGUCAUGGUUAAGUGGGAAACGAUGUGGGAAGGCCCAGACAGCCAGGAUGUUGGCUUAGAAGCAGCCAUCAUUUAAAGAAAGCGUAAUAGCUCACUGGUCGAGUCGGCCUGCGCGGAAGAUGUAACGGGGCUAAACCAUGCACCGAAGCUGCGGCAGCGACACUGUGUGUUGUUGGGUAGGGGAGCGUUCUGUAAGCCUGUGAAGGUGUGUCGUGAGGCAUGCUGGAGGUAUCAGAAGUGCGAAUGCUGACAUAAGUAACGAUAAAGCGGGUGAAAAGCCCGCUCGCCGGAAGACCAAGGGUUCCUGUCCAACGUUAAUCGGGGCAGGGUGAGUCGACCCCUAAGGCGAGGCCGAAAGGCGUAGUCGAUGGGAAACGGGUUAAUAUUCCCGUACUUGGUGUUACUGCGAAGGGGGGACGGAGAAGGCUAUGUUGGCCGGGCGACGGUUGUCCCGGUUUAAGCGUGUAGGUGUGUGUUCCAGGUAAAUCCGGUUCACUUUAACACUGAGGCGUGACGACGAGGCACUACGGUGCUGAAGCAACAAAUGCCCUGCUUCCAGGAAAAGCCUCUAAGCAUCAGGUAACAUCAAAUCGUACCCCAAACCGACACAGGUGGUCAGGUAGAGAAUACCAAGGCGCUUGAGAGAACUCGGGUGAAGGAACUAGGCAAAAUGGUGCCGUAACUUCGGGAGAAGGCACGCUGACACGUAGGUGAAGUGAUUUACUCAUGGAGCUGAAGUCAGUCGAAGAUACCAGCUGGCUGCAACUGUUUAUUAAAAACACAGCACUGUGCAAACACGAAAGUGGACGUAUACGGUGUGACGCCUGCCCGGUGCCGGAAGGUUAAUUGAUGGGGUCAGCGCAAGCGAAGCUCCUGAUCGAAGCCCCGGUAAACGGCGGCCGUAACUAUAACGGUCCUAAGGUAGCGAAAUUCCUUGUCGGGUAAGUUCCGACCUGCACGAAUGGCGUAAUGAUGGCCAGGCUGUCUCCACCCGAGACUCAGUGAAAUUGAACUCGCUGUGAAGAUGCAGUGUACCCGCGGCAAGACGGAAAGACCCCGUGAACCUUUACUAUAGCUUGACACUGAACAUUGAGCCUUGAUGUGUAGGAUAGGUGGGAGGCUUUGAAGUGUGGACGCCAGUCUGCAUGGAGCCGACCUUGAAAUACCACCCUUUAAUGUUUGAUGUUCUAACGUGGACCCGUUACCCGGGUUGCGGACAGUGUCUGGUGGGUAGUUUGACUGGGGCGGUCUCCUCCUAAAGAGUAACGGAGGAGCACGAAGGUUGGCUAAUCCUGGUCGGACAUCAGGAGGUUAGUGCAAUGGCAUAAGCCAGCUUGACUGCGAGCGUGACGGCGCGAGCAGGUGCGAAAGCAGGUCAUAGUGAUCCGGUGGUUCUGAAUGGAAGGGCCAUCGCUCAACGGAUAAAAGGUACUCCGGGGAUAACAGGCUGAUACCGCCCAAGAGUUCAUAUCGACGGCGGUGUUUGGCACCUCGAUGUCGGCUCAUCACAUCCUGGGGCUGAAGUAGGUCCCAAGGGUAUGGCUGUUCGCCAUUUAAAGUGGUACGCGAGCUGGGUUUAGAACGUCGUGAGACAGUUCGGUCCCUAUCUGCCGUGGGCGCUGGAGAACUGAGGGGGGCUGCUCCUAGUACGAGAGGACCGGAGUGGACGCAUCACUGGUGUUCGGGUUGUCAUGCCAAUGGCACUGCCCGGUAGCUAAAUGCGGAAGAGAUAAGUGCUGAAAGCAUCUAAGCACGAAACUUGCCCCGAGAUGAGUUCUCCCUGAGACUUAGAGUCUCCUGAAGGAACGUUGAAGACGACGACGUUGAUAGGCCGGGUGUGUAAGCGCAGCGAUGCGUUGAGCUAACCGGUACUAAUGAACCGUGAGGCUUAACCUUACAACGCCGAAG
rnacentral:rRNA from 6 species